GAUGAAGAACGUAGCGAAAUGCGAUAAGUAAUGUGAAUUGCAGAAUCCAGUGAAUCAUCGAAUCUUUGAACGCACAUUGCGCCCGCCAGCAUUCUGGCGGGCACGCCUGUUCGAGCGUCAUUUCAACCCUCGACCUCCCUUUGGGGAAGUCGGCGUUGGGGACCGGCAGCACACCGCCGGCCCUGAAAUGGAGUGGCGGCCCGUCCGCGGCGACCUCUGCGUAGUAAACCAACUCGCACCGGAACCCCGACGUGGCCACGCCGUAAAACACCCAACUUCUGAACGUUGACCUCGAAUCGGGUAGGACUACCCGCUGAACUUAAGCAUAUCAAUAAGCGGAGGA
rnacentral:misc_RNA from 1 species